UUGUUUCUUAGUUUAGCUUUGCUACUUAUGCAAGUAUCCUGGCGAACGAUAAAGGUUAGAAUAGCUUCGGUAUAUAUCCAUAGUUCUGGAUCAAUUUCAAUAGCAGUGAACAUUAUCACGAAACUCUAUAGAAUCCUUCCGCCGUUCAAUUCAACUUCAACCGUAUUACAGCUCUGUGGUACUUUGAAUUUAUUUAUGGCUUCAACAGUUCUUAAUGUGCCUAAUAGUGUUCGAGGAAUUAAUGGUUUGGAUUGCGGCACCUAUCUUAGGCUAAGACCUUCGCCAAGUUCAAAUUUCCUCUGCGUUCUCCUUGUCUUUUCAUUGUGAGAGCGUGCAAUGAGAGCGUUGCACAUAUGAAGAAGCUUAGAUGAAGUGAUGUAGAGUGGAAAGCUGCGGUCGUGGACGGCUGCGUUCCAGAAGCGCCUCCAGCAUCGCCAGUCGGAACUCCUGUGAUUCCUUGCUGCCUCUCAGCUGUCAUCCACGUCGUAUCUGAAGGUCCCCUGCACCCAGAGCAUCGUAACUGAAGGUCACCUGCAAUUUUUUAUAUCCCCUAUUCAUUCAUGAAGGUACACACUUUGUAACCAUAAUACCUUUAUUCAUUUCUUGUCUAUGAUGGUAUGCCGUUAUUUCCAUGGGCAACAGUUAGUUUGUAGGUAAUGUAGGUCUAAAGAUUAGGAUUUGCAGGUGAGGACAACUAGAUGUUUGUGCGGUGAGAAAGAUGAGGAUUUACCAAUUACCAUUUAUCAGGGUGUAGGUAGGUAUAUAUGGUUACAGAGUUUAUUUCAUGUUUUCCAGGACUUAUAACGAAUGGAGUCUGUACUUCAAUUAUGCAAACAAGUGUCGCCCAGGUAAUUUUUAGAGGUCGUUGUCUAUUUAAAUUCAACCCUUGAAUACUAUAGAUCCACAGUCCGAUGUACAGAGUACUGAAAUUAUGUGAACAUGCAUGACUAUCUUCCAAUAUUUAUUCUUUGAUCAAGAUUACAUGAGUUCCAAGAUUAGUGUGUUACGUUGCUUAUAAAUUUUGUAAGGAGAUGAGUGGACUUUGCCUUUGUCGAGUGGGAUAUUAUACACAGGCAUUCAUAAUUUACCGUACAAGUUUCCCCCCUCUCAUACACAACAUCUUUCCAUAUGUCCUAUUACCAAAAAUUUAUCGGUUUCUUUUAUGGCAUACUUCGAUUUGAUCACUAGGCCCGUGCUACUUGAGCAGAUGUUGUCAGUCCAAGUGACAUGAUGAAUGGUAGGGUAGGAUCAAUUAGGAGUCUUGACGCUAAAGGCUUUUAUCAUGUCUUCAUCCUCUCGUUCACAACAAAGUAAUUUGUCAUCUAUUUCACAAUUUUCUCCCUUUUUUCUUUUCUUAGCCACUGAACUUGUAAAUGCAGUUCUAGCUUUGUGUUACUUAGUUCUAUUAGAAUAUCGAACUGCUGGCUAUUAAAAGAAAAGUGAAAUGAUGUCUAAUCCUAGAUUAUUUACGAAGCUAUGAGUUAAAAUGUUUGCAAUCUUAUGAGUGUAGAUCAUGUAGACAGCCUGUGCAAAGGAAUUAUUAGAUGUUUGAAUCAUCUUUUGCCUCUAAAAAGCUAAAAAAAAUUGUAAGUCCAUUGUAAUGAGCUAUUUUGCCUAAAUGAUUCGGUUACAUGCUUGACUCUGUUGGAGCAUAGUAGAAUUUUAUGGAGGGGAAUCUGUCUUGUUUUUUCUGGAGGAAGAGAUGUUUUCACUUCUUAAGUUGAGUUCAUCUUGAAAUCUCUACAUAGUGUCCUUAUAUAGGCCUUUUGGAACAUCCUCCAUGGUCAUUCAUGUACCAAAUAUUAAAUAAUGAAUAUACCUAAUACAUGUACUAAUCAUUAUAGUGAUUCAUGAAUAAUCUAAUACAUGUAUAGUCUAAUGAAUCUAACUCUAAAAUGUAUCCAAUGAAUUUCAUUUUCAAAAUCUGCCUAUGUGCACUCAUUUAGUUAUUGAUGAAUUAAGUUUACUCAUCAACCGACCCUGCAGCUAAGUUAAUGUUUCAGUAAGAUACCCGAUGCUAUAUUUUCUUCCCAUGCGGAUCAAAUCCAUCUUGAAUAUUGCUGAAUUUAUUUUCAGUACCUUAUCACUUGAGAGGGUGAAUAUUGAACAGUAUGCGGGAUGUCUUUGAACUACUUCUUCACAGUUUAUGUAUGCGUAGCCAAUUGGCAUGACUAUGGCUUUUAAUUCUGCUGCUGUUGCUCUCUUUUUCCCUCUCCUUCUUCUUCUUUUGGUUUUUUUUUUUUUCCUUUUUCUAAUUCAUGAAUGGUCAAAUUACUUCUGUUUUCAAUUCCAACUAUGCUUUUCUCGCUUCCUUUAAACAGGGAUGCAAGUUCAUUGUAGGGUCCAUAAGGCUUCUCGGAAUAAUUCUUCUUUUCCCAUUGCAGCAUAUCAGGUUUCGGGCAUAUACUCGAUAAACAAGGCUGGAGGGGUUCUCAAUAUGAUUGACGAAGAAAAGGUCAUGAUGGAGUCUCUCAUAUAAUCCUCAUAUUUUGCUCUACAAGCAGCUGGAUGUUUGUGCUGUGGGAAAGCGUCGGAGGCCACAAUUGCAAUUGAUGAUAUGGAAUCUGCGAUGUCCCAUAUUGGUUGUGGAGGAGAAUAAGAGACCCUUUAUAAGGGUGUGGAAACCUUCCCCUAACAGACGCGUUUUAAAGCGUUGAUGGGAAGUUCGAAAGGGAAAGCCCAAAGAGGACAAUAUCUGCUAGCGGUGGAUCUGGGUCGAACCAAGCUAGCGUUCUAUCCUCUUUAAAGCUGUAGCUGCAACGUCCGGAAUCCUUUACAAUAGGACGGGGGCGCAAGCAGCUUUCCCUUUAAAACAUAUCGGCCCCACGUACUACACUCCCAAAACUUGCCGGAGGUACCUCUCAGCGAUGGUUGCGUGAGUCGCAGCCCCGAUCGGUAGGACGUCUUCAUCGAUCAUGAAGUAAGGGGAGUGACCUGUGUGGAUGGAGCCUAAAGUCUCAUUCCUGAUUCCUACGUAAUAGAACGCUGCAGGAACUAACUGCGUGUAGAAGGAAAAAUCCUCGGCCCCCAUCAUUGGUUGGACCACCCUGAAAUUAGGUGAACCAUGUAGAUCAAUCGCCACUUU